rnacentral:rRNA from 1 species
UACAGAGGUGGCAAGCGUUGUUCGGAUUUACUGGGCGUAAAGCGCGCGUAGGCGGCUUUGCAAGUCGGGUGUGAAAUCCCCAGGCUUAACCUGGGAACUGCAUUCGAGACUGCAUUGCUAGAGUAUGGGAGAGGGAAGUGGAAUUUCCGGUGUAGCGGUGAAAUGCGUAGAUAUCGGAAGGAACAUCAGUGGCGAAAGCGACUUCCUGGACCAAUACUGACGCUCAUGUGCGAAAGCGUAGGGAGCAAACAGG